GUGAACAAUUAAACUGAGCAUGUACUUUAACGUGUUAACCCUUUCACCAACACCUCUUGUUUUUUCUUGAGGGACAGCCGGCCGGUCGCUCCAUCCCGUGACUCUCUGUAUCUCACUCUCUCUCUCUCUUACAGUCACAGACGACCUAGAUCCAAAAUAAGCGGCGGCAGCUUAGGGGAGAAGCAGGACGACGCAAGCUGAGGCAACCACGACGCCCGUGUCCGGGGGGCGAGUUCUAUGCCCACGUACCAGCAAGGGUCGCCAUGGUGGCAGCCGCAGUGGGUUAGGAAGGUGAGCCUCGCGGUGGAGAUGGCAUUUGCGCAUGCUAUGGCGGCCGGGCGUGCCCUCGAGCCAUGUGGCGCCCAAGAUGUCUAGCCUUGCUGCGGCGGCGGCGCGGGGAUCUCAUCGCAUCGAGCCACCGAGUGCUAACCGGAGCAUUCAACAGGAAAAAACUAAAGAAUGAAAGACUGCAAAUCAGUGCAAAGUGGGGCUCCUGCCCAGGUACACACAUGAAAGGCGACAACAGGCCAGCAGAAAAAUGAAGCUCGAGUGGGAUGCUGAUGAAUAGAACCACUUCGAUGAGCCAUAGGUGAAGUGGCGCACCUGUGCCACCACCCGCCGCGUCUCGGGUUCCCUCGGCCGCCUGCACAAGCUCCUCCGCCAAUCCUCCUCAAUUUUGUGUGGCGUCCCGCACGGACGACAUGCCCAAGGCGGUGGAGGCGGACGGAGUUCCUCUGCAUCUCGACUUGCCGCAUGGGCACCAUAGCUCUGGCAACGGGCUGGUCGCCUUCGGAGCCGCCGGCAGCCGUGGAGCAAGGGGCGACUUGGUUGGGGCAGGACGGUUUCCGCAGUUGGCCAUGAGGUGGACGACGGGGCAAAUCGACAUGUACAUGGAGGCGUGGUGAUGUGGAGAUGGAGAACGUGGGGAAAGAGAGAAGAUACUGGAAGCUUUCUAGAUGCAGUCAAAGCGGUGCAGAAGAAAGGAUGAAGAGGGGAGAUGGACACGUAAAAAAGGUACGUGUCAAUAAUAGAACGUCUGUAGAGGCCCAAAAUCAGGCACGAUUGGUGAAGACCGGGAUUACCGGAAAUUAGAGGUAAUGGAAGGGAAGGAAAAGAAGGAAACCGGCCUGGGCGUUAGUUAGAUUGCAUGUUUGAUGGUUUAGAGGCUCUAGAUUGCAGGAGUUUAAAGAUUAUUAGUGUCAACCGGAAUAUUUGUCAGAAGUAGGAUGAGGUGUGUAAUAAGAGCAUCUCCACCGGCUAUGCUUUUCAGUUUGCUUGUUCUUCUGAAGUUUCUCUAUGGCAGUUUGAUGGAUGAAUGAUAA